AGUGAGACUUCAUCUCAAAUAAAUAGUGCAUCAGUUGUACUAUCCACAUUUUGAGUGUUCAAUGACUACAUGUGGCUAGUUGCCACCAUAUUGGACUAUACGGGUAUAUAACGUUUCCAUUGUCAAAGAAAGUUCUGUUGGAUAGCUUCACAGAGCCUGAGUACAUACCAUUUCACCUUGCUGUGUCUGUUUUUCCCUUUGGGAUUGGGUGGGGCAAGUAAGCAUGGCCUAACAAUUUGGAAAUAUUUGCUUGUAAGUUCUGGAUAUGGUUCUUAGAAUAUGUAAUUAGGUACAUUUAUUCUACGUCUCACUUUUUUUUCCAAAUGAGAAAAAACAACUUUCAUUCUCUAAAGGAUGGAGUGCAGAUAAUUUCUUAGAGUGGAGGUUAUGAUCUAUGUUGUCAUGUUCAUUUCCCAGGAUAGAAUCCUAAAAGAACUACUAGGUGAAUGCAAGGUAUGAAUAUAUUUAACCCUCUGUGAAACAAUUUUUCUGAGAUAUUGUAUUAGUUCACUCAUUCACUACUAUUUGAGAAUUGUGUAAGAAGCACAUACUCCCUUGACAGUAUUCAUUAUCAUUUAAAAAACUACUUCUGCUUCUCCGAGAGAACACCAAAUGGCGGAUGACGCCGGUGCAGCGGGGGGGCCCGGAGGCCCUGGUGGCCCUGGGAUGGGGAACCGCGGUGGCUUCUGCGGAGGUUUCGGCAGUGGCAUCGGGGCCGGGGUCGCGGCCGUGGACGGGGCCGGGGCCGAGGCCGCGGAGCUCGCGGAGGCAAGGCCGAGGAUAAGGAGUGGAUGCUCGUCACCAAGCUGGGCCGCUUGGUCAAGGACAUGAAGACCAAGUCCCUGGAGGAGAUCUACCUCUUCUCCCUGCCCAUUAAGGAAUCUGAGAUCAUUGACUUUUUCUUGGGGGCCUCUCUCAAAGACGAGGUUUUGAAGAUUAUGCCGGUGCAGAAGCAGACCCGUGCUGGCCAGCGCACCAGGUUCAAGGCGUUUGUUGCUAUUGGGGACUACAAUGGCCACGUCGGCCUGGGUGUUAAGUGCUCCAAGGAGGUGGCCACUGCCAUCCGUGGGGCCAUCAUCCUGGCCAAACUCUCCAUUGUCCCGGUGCGCAGAGGCUACUGGGGGAACAAGAUCAGCAAGCCCCACACCGUCCUGUGCAAGGUGACAGGCUGCUGGGCUCUGUGCUGGUGCGCCUCAUCCCUGCACCCAGGGGCACUGGCAUCGUCUCAGCGCCUGUGCCCAAGAAGCUGCUCAUGAUGGCUGGUAUUGAUGACUGCUACACCUCAGCCCGGGGCUGCACUGCCAACCCUGGGCAACUUCGCCAAGGCCACCUUUGAUGCCAUCUCUAAGACCUACAGCUACCUGACCCCUGACCUCUGGAAGCAGACUGUGUUUACCAAGUCUCCCUAUCAGGAAUUCACUGACCACCUUGUCAAGACCCACACCAGAGUCUCUGUGCAGCGGACCCAGGCUCCAGCUGUGGCUACAACAUAGGGUUUUUAUACAAGAAAAAUAAAGUGAAUUAAGCCUG